GAUCAACUGCUGAAGAAGUGGAAUUUUUGGAGAACUUUGAGAAUUUGUGCAUGGGUCUCGAGAUUUGCUCGUAACGCUGGUAGAGUGAAUGAAAGCGUACGUGGCCCAUUGUCAACCGAAGAGAUCCAAGAACGAGAAGCAUGGUGGAUAAUAAAGGUACAAAGAAGAAAUCGAGAUACACCGGAAUUCGAAGAAGAUCGUGCGAGAUUAAACCUUAAACCGAGUGAUGGUGGCAUUCUUGAAUGUCAUGGCCGAAUACAAGGAGACUAAUUCCCAACCUACCUCCCUGACAAUGACAUAUACACCGAGAAACUAGUGAAACAUGCUCACAAUGUGACCCUCCAUGGGGGAGUGGGUCUGACUAUGGCUAAGGUACGAGAGAGCCACUGGAUUCCACGACUGAGGAGACUUACUAGAAGAGUUAUCAAGAACUGUUUCGGAUGUAGACGGUUCCAUGCAACACAUUUUCCAAACCCACAACCUGGGAAAUUACCGAAAGAUCGGACUGAGGGUGAUUUGCCUUUCCAAGUCGUAGGGGUCGACUAUGCGGGUCCAAUUAGGUACCAGAAACGGGGAAAGCAAGAAGGCAAGGCCUAUAUAAUUGUAUAUGCGUGUUCUUUGACCCGUGCGAUGUAUCUCGAGUUAACGAAGACCAUGAGUACAGAAGAAUUCCUUUCAACAUUCAAACGAUUCGUCGCGAGGAAAGGGCGCCCAUUGAAAGUGUAUUCCGAUAACGCGAAGACAUUUGUUGCCGGGGCGAAGUGGAUAAAGCAAGUUAUGAAGGACGAAAAGUUUAAUGAUUUCCUGGCUAAGAUGUCGAUCAAGUGGCAAUUCAACAUGAGUCGAGCUCCUUGGUGGGGCGGACAGUACGAGCGGUUGAUUGGACUUGUAAAACAAGCUAUGUACAAGUCCAUUGGUAACGGGUUUCUCUCCUGGACGGAGUUGGAAGAUGUCAUCCUGGACGUGGAAGUGACGUUAAACAACCGACCUCUCAGCUACGUAGAAGAAGACGUCCAACUGCCCUUACUUACACCGAAUACGUUGCAAUUCGGCCGACCAAACAUAUUGCCAGAACAACCAGAGCAUCAAAUCGAUAAUCUCGAUCUCCGCAAGAGAGCAAAGUAUAUCCGGCGAUGUAAGGACGUGUUGUGGAAAAGAUGGUCUUCUGAAUAUUUGAAGGCUCUCCGAGAGCGGCAUAACAUGAAACAUCACGGUAAAGUUGUAAGUAUAAAGAUUGGAGACGUCGUUAUCGUGAAAGGCGAGGAAAAUAAUCGGGGAAAGUGGAAAACCGGAGUUGUAGAACGACUCGUAGUGGGUAAAGACGGUAUCGUACGGGGAGCGAAACUACGAGUAGGACAGAACACAUUAGAACGUGCAGUUCAACACCUAUACCCUAUGGAACUGUCCUGUGACGUAGCCGUAAAGACGCCAG